AUUUAUUCAAGCAUUAAAAAAUAUACCAAUACGGAUCCCAAGUGGAAUUUAGUUAUGUAAGGACACCAGAAUCUGAUGAGAGUGAUGACCUACAGAUUGCCUAGACUCCAUCUGAGUUCACUUCUGGAAAGAGUAGGUGGAAGCUGUAACAUUAACAGUCCUUUUUUCUCAAAUGUGGAAAAUUGCUGACUUCCUUCCCUUUCAUGACACAAAAAGGAUUGAGUAGCAAUGUUCCUUAUGGUGAACUCUAUCCUUAGGAUUGGUCAGAUACAUUUUGUUUCGAUAAGAAUGUAUUAAUAAUGGUUUGAUCUUUCAGUUGAUAGCUAUUUUCAGAGGGGAAGAAAAUAACACAAUGCUUUAUAGUCUCUCUAAUGAGGUAGAUAGUGUCAGAUCUUCUAGUCUAGUUCAUUGAGAUAAUCUCUGGCUGUUUUUUUUUUUUUUUUCAUUCAUUACAUAUUAUCUAUGAACUAAAUAAACUCCAUUUUCUUUUCCAUACAGAUUCCAGUCGCUCAUCCAGUUGCUCUCGGACUCAUUAAUGUGAGUGGGAAACACAGUGAACUUGAUUGAAUAUAAAACCAAGAGUGAGAGCAGAAAGCAGAGGGUUGACUCAGCCAUACUAGAGUUGGAAAAGUCUGGUCUGGUUCUCUGCAUCAUGGACAUGGACAUGGAAGUGGAGUCUCUAGAGAAGUAACAUCUGCAUGGUGCUAUGUUCUACUGCUUUUCACCUUCCUAGGCUCAGCAGGUCCCUGCCUCAAGGGUCUACCCACUGCACUGCACUACAUCCUGCACGUACUGAGCCCUGCAGCCAUCCUAUCCAGCAGCAUGCAUGUAACUGGUUGAGCUUUGCCAACAACAGAUGUAUUGGAAAUUCCUUAAGGGAAAACAACCCUCCUGGAGCCCUGUGUUGUAUGCAUACCUUUGCACAUGACAGAGUCUGAGCUUCCACUUUCUUCCUGUUUUACUUCAUAUUGCUCUCUUCAAAGCUAUUUCAUGGUAAAAACAUCGAGAAAACCUUGUUAUGGUAUCAGUAUAUAACCAGGGAGAUAUUCUACCUAAAAUUCUGCCUGCUUCCCAGUCAAAUCUUCAGUCAUUUCUUUGUUUUUCUUUCACUGACUUUUUUUUUUUUUUUAAAUUAGGGAAAACAUUAAAAAGGAAGAGUUUAGGAAAUUCAGUUUGUGUUAGGACAGUUAAGUUAGAACACUUAUUGUUCAGUAACUAGGAGUUACAGUUGCAACUGUAAGUUGUAACAGCUAAGAUACACAUCACUGAUAAGGGCUUUGUAUAGGCAAAACAAUUCAAUCCCCUAUCCUUUACAGCUCCCAGGUCUGCUGACCACAGGGCAGCCUCCCAGUGCUGUGAAGGCCCAUUCAGCUGCCUGCGGUGUUAAGGCUUGUUCUGCCAGCGGCAUCCCAUAUGGGAUCCAUCAUGAGAAUGGGGAAGGGGAGGAACAGGGCUGGGGGUUACUUAGGCAACGGUCAUGCCAGAUCAUAAAUGGCAAACUGUUUUUGAGAAAUGAUUUGGCUUGAGAUCUAGUGCUGAACAGAGAUAACAGAAUAUCAAUUUUUCUUAAUAGAAAAAAAGGCAGUGACAAAAAAGUUGAAACAAAUAGGAGCAAUUUUACUGUAGUGUACAUCCUCCCUCCCAGUUUUAGGAGUCCUAUACCACAUUUGUGAUUUACAGCUGAAGCUUUCACAGCGAAGUGGGAGACAUGAGCAUCCAUCAGUUCUAGUGAAAGUGCAUCCAAGCUCCUGAUAAGAUUCUAAACAAACUUCACCCCACAACUCAUAACUAAAAUAGACGAAGGAGCAGCUUUAGUAAAAGUGUCAUACCAUGGAUGACAAAGUAGGGAAAAUAUAAAGCAAGCGUCACGUUUCUCUGUAAUGUCUGUGUGUAAUACAAGACUCUGAGGAGGAUGCACACAAUGCCACCUGUUUACAA
rnacentral:lncRNA from 1 species